rnacentral:rRNA from 1 species
CCUACGGGAGGCAGCAGUGAGGAAUAUUGGUCAAUGGUCGGGAGGCUGAACCAGCCAAGCCGCGUGAGGGAUGAAGGUACAGAGUAUCGUAAACCUCUUUUGUCAGGGAACAAAGGCGGGGACGUGUCCCCGGAUGAGUGUACCUGAAGAAAAAGCAUCGGCUAACUCCGUGCCAGCAGCCGCGGUAAUACGGAGGAUGCGAGCGUUAUCCGGAUUCAUUGGGCUUAAAGGGAGCGUAGGCGGGCGUUCAAGUCAGCUGUAAAAUCGCGCGGCUCAACCGCGCCCCGCAGUUGAAACUGGACGCCUUGAGUUCACAACAGGCAGGCGGAAUUCGUGGUGUAGCGGUGAAAUGCUUAGAUAUGACGAAGAACCCCGAUUGCGAAGGCAGCUUGCUGCAGCGGAACUGACGCUGAUGCUCGAAAGCGCGGGUAUCGAACAGGAUUAGAUACCCGAGUAGUC